rnacentral:rRNA from 1 species
UGAUUCCCCUAGUAACGGCGAGUGAAGAGGGAAAAGCUCAAAGUUGGAACCUGGCUGUCCUAGAUAGUCCGGAUUGUAAACUAAAGAGCGUGAAUCCAGGCAAGCCGGUUGACAAAGUCCUUUGGAAUGAGGCGCCACUGAGGGUGAGAGCCCCGUAAGUCGACUGAGCAUUUGUCUUUUGUGUUUCGCGUUCAAAGAGUCAGGUUGUUUGGGAAUGCAGCCUAAAGCUGGUGGUAAAUCCCACCUAAAGCUAAAUACAGGCGAGAGACCGAUAGCGAACAAGUACCGUGAGGGAAAGAUGAAAAGUACUUUGAAAAGAGAGUUAAACAGUAUGUGAAAUUGCCAAGAGGGAAGCAUUUGGAGUUAGACUGACUUGAAGUCAAUCAACUUGGUCUUUGGACUGGGUGUACUUGGCUUUUAUGUCUGCCAACAGCAGUUAGUUCUGGUGGAAAAAACUAGAGGGAAGGUAGUCCUUCGGGAUGUUUAUAGACCUUUAGAAAAUACACUGGAAUUGACUGAGGAAUGCAGUAGAUGCUAUUAGGCUUCGUCUUGUGGGUGUUGGGUAAAGGUACUAGGUGUUUUCAGCUUGCUGAUGCGCUUGGUGCCCGAGUCCAUCCAUCACAAGUACUGUAAUC